rnacentral:SRP_RNA from 1 species
GCCAGGCGCAGUGGUGCAUGCCUAUAGGACCAGGUACUCGGAAGGCUGGGGUGGUAGGAUCGCUUGAGCCCAGGAGUUCUGGGUUGCAGUGUAUUAUGCCAACUGGGUGUCCACACUAAGUUUGGCAUCAAUAUGGUGACCCCCCCCCCAGGAGCAGAAGACCACCAGGUUGCCUAAGGAGGGGUGAACCAGCCCAGGUUGGAAACAGAGCAGAUCAAAACUCCCAUGCUGAUCAGUAGUGGGAUUGCAUCUGUGAAUAGCCACUGCACUCCAGCCUGGGCAACGUAGUGAGACCCUACCUCU